ACUUCAAAGAAAGCCAUAAAUGCGCAGUCGCACUCAGCUUCAAUCAUUAACUAAAAGCCUCCAAAUCCAUCGUACAUUGGUCUUUUAAAGACUCGCACAGCAAGAGAAUCUUCGAUGGAUCUGUUGCGCGCAGAUGUAACAGAGGAGUUUGCAUUCGCUCGCAGUGUGUUUCGCUGGGUUUGUCAUAGGGGGGCGGAAUAAAUAGUGCUGGCCGUGGUUUGCGAAAUAGGUUAUACUGACAAAAAUCGUCCAUUUUGGUAGCGAUAAUUGUAUCGCUUAUAUUUAUAAACGUUAAGAAAAGGUCUGUUAAAAUAAAACUGAAAAAUGAAUAGUGUCAAUGUCAGUAUAGAAUAUCUGAACAACAAUAUUUUAAAUCCCAGUCUGUCUCGAGCACUUCACAUACUAAACAAAAUUAAACAAUAAGUACAUACACACUCUAUACAUAAAACAGUAUUUGCAAAACAACUUUAUUUUAAAUACCAAAAUAUAUCCUUACAACUAGUAAUCAUGAAUAAAAAAUUAUGGUUCUGGCGCUUUCUCCAUUGAUCGGUAUUUUUUCGAGCAGCAGACUCCAGCAAGGCUAAAACAAAGAAAAUGAAUAAAGCAUUUAUCAAAUAUAAAGUAUACUAAAUUAAAUAUAAAAAAAGUAUUCCACGUACUUAUCACCAAUAAUACAGAAAUAAUCCUUGAAUGUUUGUGUUGAAGUUAGCUGGGGGUACAAAGCCUCACAAUCCUUAAGAAGAACGCACAAUCCUUCUUCGCUCUUGGGAUCUGUACAAUCUUCAUCCAAUGGCGACGUUUCAUUGAACCCAAGCUGAUAUUUGCCUUUCAAGAAAUUAAGAGUGCCGUCAGGAUUCAUCUUUUCUUGCAACCAUGGUAACUUUUGGGCGUGUUCUGGAGGCAAGGUCACUGCUUCCUGGGUUGUA